GGCAGCGCUGGAGGCCCCGGGCCGGUGACCACGAAGAGGGAGCCGGGGGCCGGACGGGAGCGCGGCGGCGGCGGCUGAGGCCCAGGCCAGGCCUCCUCCCCUCAGCCUCCCGCCCGCCUGCCCCGCCCCCGCCGGCGGCGCCCCGCCCCUCCCCCAACCGCCAGACUGGCCUGGUGCGGGGGCCGCGCGCAAAGACAUGGGGGAGAAGCUGAGGCUGGAGUCGCCCGUGGGGGCCGAGCCCGCCGUCUACCCGUGGCCGCUGCCAAUCUACGUUGUGACAGAAAUAAAGUUUACAGAAGUCGUGUUCCUGCGAUAAGAAAGAAAGAUGUGACCUUCCAGUUGUGUAAAGCUCUUAAAUGCUGUGUAAGUGCGUUGGGUGCGCUGAGGAACCUGGAGCUAAAUGGGCUAGUUCUGAGAGAGAGAGACUUAACUAUGUUAACAAAGCUGCCAAGCAGUAACGGCUGUAUUUGUACUGAAUCCCGGAAGUGUCUCUGUAUCCUGGAAGUAUUGCAAAGAUCGUCUUCACACCUGCAAAAUAUUCCUGCACCGUGUACGCAAAUGAUUAUGGCUCCGCUCUUGGGCCUCAUCUGGGAGCUACUGCAUGUGAGGAUCAAAUUGAUACACAUUAGGGCAUUCUCAGCGGUCUUUGGCAAAGGCCUAUAGAUUACUUCGCUAUCCAAUUUGUUAACUGGACAGCAGAGCCUGAGUGGAAAGAACAAUGCGCUCGUCAGUUGGGAAAAGCUCCUCCAGGUAUCAACAGAUACAAGCAAGGCAAUCUCACUGUGCAGGUUGAUUAGAAUCGGGUUUGUAUUUUGGACAAUAAACUCUACUAAUGAUAGUCUCCCAGUCAUUAAGUAUCUCUGCUGUAAGAGAAAACUGGGGCUAUUAACUUCUCCAGAUAGAACCCGAGGGAAAAGUGAUCAUUUCUUUUAUAAGCAGAAGGGAAGGUUCUGCUCAAUAAAGAUCAAUUAAACAUCUCUGUUAAAAGACUGCUUGGAGCUGGUG